AGGAGUGCUAGGCUAUCACUGACUGGGUUAGUAGGAGGGGUGGGGGGGUAGGAGUGCUAGGCUAUCACUGACUGGCUAGUGGGGGGUAGGAGUGCUAGGCUAUCACUGACUGGCUAGUGGGGGUAGGAGUGCUAGGCUAUCACUGACUGGCUAGUGGGGGGUAGGAGUGCUAGGCUAUCACUGACUGGCUAGUGGGGGUAGGAGUGCUAGGCUAUCACUGACUGGCUAGUGGUGGGUAGGAGUGCUAGGCUAUCACUGACUGGCUAGUGGAGGGUAGGAGUGCUAGGCUAUCGCUGACUGGGUAGUGGGGGUAGCAACAUAGGGUAACACUGACUGGGUAGUGGGGAGUAGCAAAGCUGGGCUCUCACUGACUGGUUAGUUAGGGGUGGGAACAUAGGCUAUCACUAACUGGAAUGUGGGGAGUAGCAAUGCUAGGCUAUCACCGACUGGCUAGGCUCUCAUUAAUUGGGUAGUUGGAAGUAGGAGUGCUAGGCUAUCACUGACUGGGUAGUAGGGGGUAGGAGGGGUAGGAGUGCUAGGCUCUCAUUGAUUGGGUAGUGAUAGGUAGUCUAUCACUGACUGGGUAGGAAGGAGGGGUAGCAUGAUGAGGAUAUCAUUGACUGGAUAUGAGGAGGUAGCAACACUAGGUUUUCAGUGAUCGUGUAGUAGGGGUAGCUACACACACUCAUACAGCAAGAGGCUCUCAAUGACAGGGUGGUAGGGGUAGCAUCAUACAUCAUUUCCCAACAUGAUUACCUCAGUCCAUUCUACACCUCUCAUCUCUUUACACCAUGUUACUAAUAUAGCCAAUGUAUUAAUGGUCUUGGUGUAUUUUACAAUUAUUUAUUACUUUUCCUGUUGUUUGCAAUAUGUUGCUUUGCAAUAUAUCAACUUUCAAGUUUUCAGUGCCAUCAAAUUCAUCUCAUAGUUUCAUUACCCACACAAUUUCAUGUCUGGAUACAAUGUUGCACUAAAUGUAUUAUUAUGAUGACUUUGAACACUGGAUAUUGUAUUAGUACAAGUUAUUGUAAUUAAACUCUCUGACCAAUAUAUUUCUGCAUUUUGCGAAGUGUUGAAAGCUUGUAUUAUACAUCGUGUUGAAUGUGUACAUAUACUGAACAAAAAUGAUAAGGAUCAUGAAUAUUUUUUGGAUAUUUUUUGUGAAAUUGUGUGCUCAGUUUUUACUACAAACAUAUGCCCCAAAAUAUUCAUGGUACCUAACUUUAUUGGCUCAGUAUAGGAAGAGUUGUAAUGUGGAAAUCCAGGCUCAACUCGAGGGUAUCGUGUAGGUUUAUGUCUGAUGAUGGUGACAUAAUAUUAAUGAAAUAUCUUGAAUACCUCCUUAAGGUUUGAUGAUGAAAUGUACUAGAUUCAUUCUGUUGCCAUUACAGGUUUUAAUAUGUGUAGUGGAGCUUUGUAGAUACAGCAUUAACACGUCCCCAAAAGAAAAUGUCAAAACCAAUAUUUUAAAUCUUCACUAUAAAUAAGAAACAUUGAAACUAAGCUCAAGAAGUUUGUGGUCACUAGAAUGUCAAAAUAGGAUAUUAUUUUGAUUUAAAACAAUGUUUUCUUAAUUUGUAACUUUGUUGGUCUUACUGUAGUAAAAUAUACUGAGGGAAACAAAUAAGGGAUCACAUGAAAGCACAAGUGUUCCUAUAUUUAUUUCCAGGUUUCUUCACAAACUUGUAUCGCACAUCUGGGGCGGUGGGGU
rnacentral:lncRNA from 1 species